CUAGUUCUAAAAUUUAGGGAUCACCUCCCACUGACCCAUGAUAUCAACACCAACAAGAACAAUUUAUGCAAUAGAAAUUAUAGACAAAAAUGAUAAUCUACAAUAGACUGGCUUGCUGGUUUAUACUCAAUAGACUGCCUAGAAUAUACAUUUUGAUGACUGAUGAGAUCUCCGUACAGUGAUGAAAAUAUUAGACCUAGUUGUUUUUCUGAUGACAAAUGGAACAAUAGAGCUAAUUAUAGCAGUGGAAGAAGAUCUGGAGUAUUGUAAUGUGUGGGAAUGGAGCUAAUAAAGCUAGAAGGUCCAAAAGAAAAGUGGACUAAUUUGAAAGAUUUAUGAGAAAUAAUGAAGGGAAUAAUCUGUGGAGCCAUGGUUAAUAAUGGAUGAAAAUGGAUGGAUCAUAGCAGUGAUUGUGUGAUUUUCCGGCAGUAGACGACAAAAAUCAUUGAUGAAACUUUAAAAUUGAAAAAAUAGUGUGGAUCAAGCAAGGAGAUUCUUGAGGAAUUUUCUAUUUUUAUUUUUUUUUAGAAAUAAAUCUGGUUUUAUAAUAUUAUGUAUUGGAGUGAUUUAUUCUUCUUAAAAGUUGGGGUAGGAGGUGGGAUCAGGAGUUAAAUACUUUAAAAACUGUGUGCUAGGACUGUCUUUUUUCUUUAAACUCCUUUUUAAUCAAUGUCUCUUUUAUUGGGUCAAGUCACUGAAAAUAGUUGGGCUAGUGAGGGCCACUCAAAGAAAAGGCCCGGAUAUAGUCCAAAUUAAGAAAAAAGCAAUCUGGUGUACUAAAGCUUCCGCUAUCUACAAGGUCCCAAUAACGAAUAAUUGAGCUAAAAGGAAAAGACCUGUAAUUAUCUCAAUUACAAAAUAUGGAGCUCUCACACAUCUGAACUACAUGAACAUAAUUUUCAAAGCUCUAGGCAUAUGUCAUUAGGAUUUAAAGAAAGGAAAAGUAGCUUCUAGUGUGAGAUGGUAGUGGGAUAAAAAGGGCCAAAGGGCAAAUGUCUUAUGGAGAACAAUUUCAUAUAAAAAUAAAAAAAAAAUUGAGUAAAAAUGAA
rnacentral:lncRNA from 1 species